GACGAACGCUGGCGGCGUGCCUAAUACAUGCAAGUCGAACGCUGAAGUAGGAGCUUUCUCUUCUGGAUGAUUUGCGAACGGGUGAGUAACGCGUAUGUAACCUGCCUCUUAACGGGUGAGAACAAUUGGAAACGAUAGCUAAUACCGCAGAACAGUAGAUGUUACAUGACAUUUACUUAUAAGGGGCAAUUUCAUCACUACCAGAUGGUCCUCCGGUGUAUUAGCUAGUUGGUGGGGUAACGGCUCACCACGGCGACGAUACGGAGCCGACCUGGGAGGGGGAUCCGGCAAACCGGGACUGAGAACAGGGCCCGGCCUCCACGGGAGGGCGGCGUAGGGAAUCUUCGGCAAUGGACGGAAAGCUGGCCGAGCAACGCCGCCGGAGUGAAGAAGGUUUUCGGAUCGUAAAGCUCUGUUGUAAGGGAAGAAAGAGUGUGAGAGUGGAAAGUUCACACUGUGACGGUAUCUGACCAGAAAGGGACGGCUAACUACGUG
rnacentral:rRNA from 1 species